AUGCCUACGGUCUUUUGGCAGAGACACGCAUUUCCUUGCGUACUGGAUAAUGAAGAGGGACAGUAUUCCUCUGUAUUUCUACUACAUGUUGGAAGACCUUGUUUCUUGAGUGGAUUUGUGAUCGCUUGCUCAGAAGGAACGGGACAGAUUUCAUUCAGACACCCUGCAAACACCUUUGUGGCUGAGACCAGACAGAUCCUUGAGUGUGCGCUGCCUGUCUCUGAAGGAGCAGAGCAGCAGGAGGAGGAUAUGAGAACUGAGGCUUUCUUAGCCCUGCUUCUGCUUCUGUAG
rnacentral:lncRNA from 1 species